rnacentral:rRNA from 1 species
UUGACCUCGGAUCAGGUAGGGAUACCCGCUGAACUUAAGCAUAUCAAAAGCCGGAGGAAA